CCCCCUGUCGCCCGCGCGGCGCCCUCGCCCCGCCUCCCGCUCUCCCGGGCCGCUGGGCUUUCCCUCGUCCCACUGGGAAGCGCCCCGCUACGCCGCUCCACGGGACCGCGCGCCAGGAUCGACAAGUGCGGCGCUCCGAGGCCGCGAAGGUAACUGGGUGCCGAGGCAGGGUUGCGCCACACGUAGCGCCGCCCCUCACACACACACCCACACCCACACCCACGGCCGAGCGUCCACCGGGAGCCCGGGCCGCGAUAUUGAGCGAGGAAGGUGCGGACGAGGAGGGGCGGCGUUUGUCUCCUCCUGCUUGCCGUAGGACGUGGACUGCUGGAAGCCCCAGGAGUGGAGUGGCCUUUCCCAAACCUGGAGUCGCCCCGCCCCUUCCUUGGCAAGCCCGUUACCCGAACCCUGGGACGGCCGCCACCUUAGGAAAUAAAUAGCUCAGGGCUUGUCAUUAGAGCCACGGCUGCCUGGACACCCUUUGUCCAAGAGAAGUUAGCUUCUCUCACCCUUGGCUUUUGCGCUGUGAGGCUGUGGAAGGCAAUAAUACUCUUGAGUCAUCUGGGCUGUCCAAGCGGUCAUGGCAAAAGACCCUCGCCUCAGUAGGUGGCUUUUUUUGCAAGGAUCAUUCCAGGGAGGAAGAGUGUGGGCGGAACCUGAUGUCCACAUGCAGUGUACUGUGCCAAAUGCUUCACCGCGUUACCUUUUUUAUUUAGCCCUCACACCAAGCAAGGCGAACUACAAAGCAGCUGCUACCUUAUUUUAGACAGCCCAGUUUUCUGCUGCUGAAUUUCAACCUUUGCCUUUUGUCAAGAGCAAGCCAAAAAAAAAAAAAAA